CCAAGUUUACAACUCCCAAACCCCUGUGAACAUACCUAUACGUUGCCUCGGCGGAUCAGCCCGCGCCCCGUAAAAAGGGACGGCCCGCCCGAGGACCCCUAAACUCUGUUUUUAGUGGAACUUCUGAGUAAAACAAACAAAUAAAUCA
rnacentral:misc_RNA from 1 species